rnacentral:rRNA from 1 species
GACGAACGCUGGCGGCGUGCUUAACACAUGCAAGUCGAACGGAAAGGCCCUGCUUUUGUGGGGUGCUCGAGUGGCGAACGGGUGAGUAACACGUGAGUAACCUGCCCUUGACUUUGGGAUAACUUCAGGAAACUGGGGCUAAUACCGGAUAGGAGCUCCUGCUGCAUGGUGGGGGUUGGAAAGUUUCGGCGGUUGGGGAUGGACUCGCGGCUUAUCAGCUUGUUGGUGGGGUAGUGGCCUACCAAGGCUUUGACGGGUAGCCGGCCUGAGAGGGGGACCGGCCACAUGGGGACUGAGGGACGGCCCAGACGCCAACGGGAGGCAGCAGUGGGGAAUAUUGCACAAUGGGCGGAAGCCUGAUGCAGCAACGCCGCGUUCGGGAUGACGGCCUUCGGGUUGUAAACCGCUUUCGCCUGUGACGAAGCGUGAGUGACGGUAAUGGGUGAAGAAGCACCGGCUAACUACGUG